rnacentral:rRNA from 1 species
UACCGGAUAACAACAAUGGCUGCAUGGCUAUUGCUUAAAAGGCGGCGAAAGCUGUCGCUAAAGGAUGGACCCGCGGUGCAUUAGCUAGUUGGUAAGGUAAUGGCUUACCAAGGCGACGAUGCAUAGCCGAGUUGAGAGACUGAUCGGCCACAUUGGGACUGAGACACGGCCCAAACUCCUACGGGAGGCAGCAGUAGGGAAUCUUCCACAACGGGCGAAAGCCUGAUGGAGCAACGCCGCGUGAGUGAAGAAGGUUUUCGGAUCGUAAAGCUCUGUUGUUGGUGAAGAAGGAUAGAGGUAGUAACUGGCCCCUAUUUGACGGUAAUCAACCAGAAAGUCACGGCUAACUACGUGCCAGCAGCCGCGGUAAUACGUAGGUGGCAAGCGUUGUCCGGAUUUAUUGGGCGUAAAGCGAGCGCAGGCGGAAAGAUAAGUCUGAUGUGAAAGCCCCCGGCUUAACCGAGGAAUUGCAUCGGAAACUGUGUUUCUUGAGUGCAGAAGAGGAGAGUGGAACUCCAUGUGUAGCGGUGGAAUGCGUAGAUAUAUGGAAGAACACCAGUGGCGAAGGCGGCUCUCUGGUCUGUAACUGACGCUGAGGCUCGAAAGCAUGGGUAGCGAACAGGAUUAGAUACCCUGGUAGUCCAUG